AUUGAACGCUGGCGGCAGGCUUAACACAUGCAAGUCGAGCGGGGUGAUGGUGCUUGCACUAUCACUUAGCGGCGGACGGGUGAGUAAUGCUUAGGAAUCUACCUAUUAGUGGGGGACAACAUCUCGAAAGGGAUGCUAAUACCGCAUACGUCCUACGGGAGAAAGCAGGGGAUCACUUGUGACCUUGCGCUAAUAGAUGAGCCUAAGUCGAAUUAGCUAGUUGGUGGGGUAAAGGCCUACCAAGGCGACGAUCUGUAGCGGGUCUGAGAGGAUGAUCCGCCACACUGAGACGGAGACACGGGCCAGACUCCUACGGGAGGCAGCAGUGGGGAAUAUUGGACAAUGGGGGGAACCCUGAUCCAGCCAUGCCGCGUGUGUGAAGAAGGACUUAUGGUUGUAAAGCACUUUAAGCGAGGAGGAGGCUCUUUUGGUUAAUACCCAAGAUGAGUGGACGUUACUCGCAGAAUAAGCACCGGCUAACUCUGUGCCAGCCGCCGCCGUAA
rnacentral:rRNA from 1 species